UCUAUCUGGGAGACACAGGAGGGAGCUCACUGUUCCAUAGGCAGGCAGGUGACAGGACUGAAUUCCCAGUGGACUGGUGACACAGACCUAUCUAUCUCAGAUGUCUGUGAGCUGAGGCAAGGGGAUGGCUUGAACUCAGGAGUUCAAAGCCAGCUUGGGCACCAUAAUGAGACCCUGCAUCCAACAUGAAUUAAUCAAUAAAUACACAAGUACACAAGUAAAUGACAGGAAAAGUGAACUGGGAGUUGGAAUGCGAUAUCUCCCAUAUUGUCCACUUUAACAAUGCUUCAUGAGGCCAUGAACAGUAACUCUGUACAACCCAGGGAGCACAAGUAACAUUGCCCACAGUCUCCCGCCUUGUACUUCUUCCCAGAGAUUCUGGGUUCACUUUUUGAGUAGUUUGAUUGAUGUGUGAGGGGACACCUUUUCUCCCCUCCGCCUUCUUCUGCCUAGCCAUCAAAUUUAUAACCCAAACUUAGCAUCUUAUCACUUUGGGAAAUAUUAAAAAAAAAAGUUGUCCUUUCAAACAAACCAAACCAAAGUCCCAGAAUUACCCCAGAUAUGGUAUGGGUAGCAUAGGGGUUGUAUACUAAAGUGUCAGACCAGAUCCUAACCCUGCCUAACUGACAGAUUCUACAGCUGUCGAAAGGUUUAAAGUAAUACAGAUCGGCUGAGCCAGUAAGUUGAUUUGGUGAGAGCGAAAUGCUAAUGAGCCUUUGAUCUGUGCAGAGGCCGGUGAGCUAGAAACACAGCCUCGCCCGCACCCCUCAUCCAGCCAGCUGUCUCACAAAUACUUGCCAUUGGUCACAGGGGGGACCAGGCAACCUGGGAGAGGAGCGGGAUCAGCUCAAAUCCAUCAUCUCACUGCAUGCGUCACUCGAGCGCUGGCCCUCACCCUGACAAGCCAGCGGCAUCCACUUCCUCGCAGAGACGCACACAUUGCAACAGAGUUUGCUAUUUUUUUAAACAUUUUUUUGUUUUUGUUUUUGUUUUGUGUGCGCGUGUGUGUUUCGUUUUGUUUUUAAGGAGACUCUUUUUUCCUUGUCCUGAAAGUAAACGUGGGCUGGUAUUUACUUCCCGAUUUGGGGUUUUGGAAGGUCGUAUGUAUGCAUGAACACAGUGAGUGGUUAUGGAAUGUGGCUGAUAAGGAAGAUAAGUAUCAAGUUCAGGGAAUACUUGCCGAUUGUAAGAACCAGUGGUGCAGAUGAGGGAUGCCAGGCGCACGGGGCAGCGCGGAGCAGAUGGGCUCCGGUAGGGGGGCUGACAGGGCCGCAGCAGCUGAGCAAACGUAAGAGGUCAAGAAGUAUUUGUGGUCCCUGACUUCCUCCUCCUCGCCUCUGAACGGUGGGCCUCAUCAAAGCCCUGUGCCCGGGGAAUCAUACCCAGGGCAGUUUCUGUGGGUAACACUCCCCCCUCCCAAGAUUCUGUUCCAGGAGAACAUUCCAGUUCUACACAUCCAGGGUGGAUCCAUGUGCUAUUUUUAGAAGUAGGUUUUGAUGGAGGAGAAAACAACCCACAUUCCAACCAUAUCAAAAAUGUAAAAUGUGGAAAGUUUUCCUUAGCUGUCCGCUCUCUUCUGCUGAUGAAAAUACCUUUUAACAUUCAUUCGCCAGGUUUCAUCUGGAGGCCUACGGUGAAGGGCCAGGUGUAACUAUACAAAGCUGCCUGUGGGUUGGGUACUUGAAGAUUUCCAUAUGGAUUCUAUAUUACACGUCUCUUGUGACUUCUCAUUGUGAUUAUUAUUUCAUAAUAUAUAACUCGUAUGUAUUUAAGUAACUGGGAGCCGGUUACAAGAACGAUCAGAACAAAACGGUAUUAAUGAAGGUCCAGGGGAUAAGAUGAUCACUCUUUUCAAAUUACUGACUGGUCAAAUGCGUGGGAAUGGUGGGUACACAGGGUAAGAGGUAGGUAGAGACAAGUGCCCAGGAGAACCAGAGCAGUAUUCUAGUGUUAUUCAUAGGACUUGAAUCCAGGAUAUGUCAGCAAGUUCUGGCCAAUUGCACAGUCGAACCUGGGUUUCAAUGAGCUAGGCUCCCAGAGCUGUUUUGUAGAUCUGUGGUAUAGAAUCUGGGAUGCUUCCCCUCAUGCUUAUGAGGCAUAGUCGAGAUAUCAGGGCUUCCAUGAUAACACCUGAGAAUGCCUUCUUCCUCUCUGGCGUGGCCCCCAGAGCCCCACACCCCACUGCGCACAGCCUCUUGACUAUUGUCUCCUAGUUCGUGGUGUUCCAGUCAAGUGUUUCAUGAUCUCGCCGGGCUAUUUCCAUCUCAAGACUUGGUGUUUUAGCUGCCUUUGGUGUCAGCCAAUCAAGGUGGCCGCUUCUUUCUCUUCAAAGAGACUUUCCCUUUCACAGCCUACCCCACCUCUGAUGUCCCCUUUGGUCACCUCCAUAGCCUUUUCCCCUCUUCUUACCACCCUAGACAUUGUCUGUAUGAUUUGGUGUCUCCCACCAGAAAGUAGGCUCCUCUGGGCCAAGGCACUGCUCCAGUUUCCUCUCUGUCCAUUCUCAGAAUGCAGCAUGACUCAGAGCCAAUGUCUAGGGAAUAACGUUGAACGGGUCUGAUCUUCAAAAAGGUAUCUAAAGCCAGACUUCAGUGUCCACCUGUGUAGCCACAAGCAAAUGGCUCUCCCCACCUUUCUCCAUCCCCGGGGAAGCAGGUUUUUAUAGCCUGCCACAAAAUCCGUUGAGAAGACCAAACGGAGUCUGCUUGUAAAAUGCCUUGACACAUCCCCUCUCCAAGCCACGGGUCUUCAUCUGUAAAACCGCAACAUGAUGUUAGCUUAUUCUUCAAGGUUGCCUGGUGCUAUUUACACACGUGGUUAUGCUAGUGAAGACUGAGACCCUCUCUCUCCUGUUGCCUGGGAUCAGCUGCAGUGACAGGAGAUGGGGGGUUGAGCGGCACUUUUACCCAGAGGUCUCUGCGUCUCCCUACAGGUUUUAGGGUCCCAGCGUGUGUUUCUUUGGGGCCCUCCGUGCUCCCCGUGUUCCUGGGCUCACAAGCCCAUACGUAAGUGGGUUAGAAUAGAGUUCUACCAGGCUCAAACCUCCCCUGGAGGCACUGCCAUGGAGCCGGGGCACUGGGAAAGACAGAAGCCUUCUGCCAUCUACUGCUUCUGCAGAAUUCUCCCGUGGGUAGAGAUGAGGGCGGACGUAUUGACAGUGGAUUCUCCAAGGACUCAGGGAGCAGACACAUCAGACAACAAUGGGUCAUCCUGACCGUCCAUAGCUUCAAAGUGGACUUGUGCCCACCAGCCUUGAUAAUGAAUAGUCCCUUUGAACUCCUCCACUGCCGUGAAUGACCCCUCCACCACAAGCGCCAUCUCCCCCAGUCACCUGGGAUCGCCACCCAGGCUGCUCUGCUCUAGCACCUCGGCUCUCACACUCAUCUGGUAGCCUGAGCAUACUCGGACAUUUAAAUUCCUAAGAUUUACUUUAACUUUUCUUUUUUAUAUGUCAAGCAGACUUUCCCUUAUAAAUCCUGAAAUCACCUUUGAAAUUUUAGACAAGGGCAGAUGUCACUUAAUGUGACUGGCAAAUGUCCCACACGCCAUUUGUUCUGCGUGGUCGUUGUUAUUCCUUUAUACUUCUCUUCUUUCUCCCUUUCUUUCUCUUCUUUCUUUUUUUCUUUUUUAAAUCGCCACCGCACUGCAAAACCAAUUAAAACAAACUUUGCAAAGAUUCUCAUUUCUGGCUAUGAUAUUCCAACCUCUGACUUCUUCUGAAGCGUGAGAUAAGACUUUCUGAUUAACUGGGGGUGGGUGCUUAUCCAAUCUGUUCAUUUUAUACAUUAUGGAUAGUGCCUUUUAAUUUCUAUGCCAUGCCAACGGCAUAUACUUUCUGAAAUUAAUAAAUACAAUACAUACUAUCAAUGUGCGAGAUUUAAAAAAAACAGAUUUCCAUAGUUUGACAUACAAAAAAAUGUACUCACACACUUUUGAAAUCUACUGUCAAAUCAUUUCACAUCUGUACCUAAAGCAAACAGACAUAACGCUAACAGCUUGUUCGAAUUCAGAAAUGCCACCCGCUAAUCAGCCCACCUGUGGCAUUCUCAGUCCAUCUUGCAAGCUGCAUAGCCGGCUGCCAAGAAGCUUGACAAGAAAAUGUAUAUUAAAUUAUUGAAUAAGAUUGGAAAUGUUGUACAGGGUGGGAUAAAGAGAGUGCACGGCGUGGGGCCGCCGAGCGCGCCGCACCUUUCUGCUCUAACGUCUGCUUGGAGGUGACCUAGCUCAGUCCCUGGUUGCAAGGUUAGCCUUGAGGCUCUCGGGUUUUCAUUGUUCCUGCCGAGGGGAGGGCAGUCGUGAUGUGUGCUUGGCAUCGAGUAAAACAGACAGCCAGGAAAAAAAGAUGCAGAAAACAAAUUCCGUACUGAGUUCCAUGGAAAUGUCCCGUCCUCAUAAAACUCUCCUUCCACAGUGAAGACGAUGAAACAAAGGUUUUCUACAAUCCUGACAACAUGAUCCUAGAAGAAAGUGGCCUUUUGAUCUUUCUUGGGGGGACCCCCCCCAAAAAAGCAAAUGUGAAAUAAAGCUACUGAGACCCUUAGAACAAGACAGGGUAUCAGACCACCAAACAAACCGUGGGUACCUUCCUGGCCACACCCUGAGCUUGUGAAAUUGUCUUGUAAACGUGACAUUGCACAAAACCGUUACAUUUUAACACAUGAUUAGUUUCACUUCUAUGGACUAGAAGUGCUCUCCCGAAUGAUCUCUGGGGGUCUGUGGGAAAAGCCCUCUGGAGAGGGUGUGGUCCCUCUGUAGCUCAGGUUGCUUGUGUAACCCUGAGGCACUUUUUUGCACAAGUCACUUACGGUGUCAGCUUUGUCAAAGGCACACGGGAACUUGGGCUAAGAAAGAACAAAGAGAGAUGGGCGUGGCAGCACACACCAGCACGUCCAGUUUCUGGGGAAGCUGGAGCAGGAGGAUCCCUUAAGUCCAGCAAUGGAGACCAGCCUAGACAAGAUAAUGACCUCUAUCUCAAUAAAUAACUGAAUAUCAGUAAAUUAUUAUUUUAAAUGUUUUACAAAAGAAAAGGUAAACGUGGGGAGAUCAGAAUGUAUCUGCCUUAAAGAAACUGACCAGCUUUCCUCACCGAUUUGGGUACAGAGCCCUUGUUCCUUGCCCUGUGUGCAUUUCAAGCCUAUUCCCUUUUUCUUGCUUUUAUUUUGGCCUGAACCCAUUGGAGUCUUCUUGUCUACUGACCUCUACUUCUCAAUGACUUCAUGCGUUUAGAAAGCACAGCCACAUAGGAAGAUGUUAGAGCCCCCCCCCCCCCAGCAGCCUAGCCAAACGGCAUCCACCUAGUUCUCCACGGGACUCUCUAUAGCUAGCUAUAAAGAAAGAUAUUUCACACGUGCAAAAAUAAUACAGCAUCGCCGUGAGCCACAGCUGACGAGCGAGGCCCCUCGAUGUCCAGUUUUCCUUGCUGCUCAUCUCCCCGGUGCCCCUGCUGCUCUACCCCUCUGCUUUUCCUGGGGGCAUUCCUCCUUAGCCAGCUCCCAUGCCCUCCUCCAUGUGAUCACCUCCCCCUGGGUGGCUGUGGCCUUUGGGAUGCAGUCUAGGUGUGAAAGGAAUGAUUAUUCAUUGUGAUCAACAAGCACAGAAGCCCUCCUCUCCUCAUGGAGGCUCCAUUCCCCAGAGAGCAGCUUGGCAGCAUUUUUCUCAAAGUAGAAUCAAAAUGCAUCAUAUAUAUAUAUAUAUAUAUAUAUAUAUAUAUAUAUAUAUAUAUAUAUAUAUAUAUUUCCACAUGACAUCUCAGGAGAUUUUUGAUACAGGUUCCAUUUCUGUCAAGAGAGAAGAUGACAUUUUAGUGGGGGGUGGGGGGAAGCAGUGAACCACAACCCUCGAUGUCCCUCUCUGCUUUAGCUGAUUAAUAACUGGGAUCACCCACAACUCACUUAACCUUCUCAAUGUCUCAGGCUCCCCAUCGGAAAACUAGACGACAGGGUGAGGACCAGCAUCCUCCCUGUUCUGAUCCACUCUGAGCCUAGGAAACAGGACCCUGAGCUUUUCAAAGAAAACUUUUGCCUGCCCAGUGUUUGACGGCGAUGAGGAAACGGUCCAGGUUCUCCCUACUCCGUACCCUGCCCUGAAGACACAGCCGUUUGUUUCCCUGUGCCGAUGUUACUUUGGGAAGAACAUUUACUCACGAAUGUAAUUUCCCUGAAAAAAACCGAUGGUUUUGAGUUUGAAAUCCAUACUGCUCCUUCUGUGGCAGUGCCUUUGUAGUGGAAAGUAACAGAGAAGAGAGAAAUGGGUAGCCCUGUCCUCGUUUAUACUUGGUUGGCACAAACCAUAGUGAUCGAGGUUUACUCUGAGAAAACGCUCUGUGUGUGUGUGUGCGUGUGAG